rnacentral:rRNA from 1 species
ACUCCUGCGGGAGGCAGCAGUGGGGAAUAUUGCACAAUGGGCGCAAGCCUGAUGCAGCCAUGCCGCGUGUAUGAAGAAGGCCUUCGGGUUGUAAAGUACUUUCAGCGGGGAGGAAGGCGAUAAGGUUAAUAACCUUGUCGAUUGACGUUACCCGCAGAAGAAGCACCGGCUAACUCCGUGCCAGCAGCCGCGGUAAUACGGAGGGUGCAAGCGUUACUCGGACUUACUGGGCGUAAAGCGCACGCAGGCGGUCUGUCAAGUCGGAUGUGAAAUCCCCGGGCUCAACCUGGGAACUGCAUUCGAAACUGGCAGGCUAGAGUCUUGUAGAGGGGGGUAGAAUUCCAGGUGUAGCGGUGAAAUGCGUAGAGAUCUGGAGGAAUACCGGUGGCGAAGGCGGCCCCCUGGACAAAGACUGACGCUCAGGUGCGAAAGCGUGGGGAGCAAACAGGAUUAGAAACCCCAGUAGUCCCAUGA